rnacentral:hammerhead_ribozyme from 1 species
AUCCGGCUGACGAGUCCCACAACAGGACGAAACGCGCGUCCUGGAU